GUUCUCGUAGUUGAAUACAACAGUGGUUUUUCGAGUCACAAGUCUUGGUUAGACCCCAAGCGAGAACU
rnacentral:tRNA from 1 species